rnacentral:lncRNA from 1 species
AUAAACAAAUCAGUCACAUUAAGUUGAAUCUAUAGUAUUUUAGAAUCUAAUAUAUAAAACACACAAUAAUACAUAUUCAAAAUUUAUAGAUCUACCUUUGAAGGAGUGAAAGAUGAGAACCAUGUAAUGAAAAAUCUACAAAAAGAAGAUAAAUUAGUGAGAAGACAUAAGAAAAAAAUGAGAAAUGGAUUUAAAGAUUGGUGUUUUGAUGUUCAAAGAGAUUAGAGAGAGGUUGAAGAGUUUUAGAGUGAGAAACAUUACAUUUUUGUUGCAGUCAUUUGAGAGGAAGAAAGAUAAUGUGUAAAUUUUCUUUAUAUAUGGAGACAAAAUUUCUAAUUUGGUUAAAUAUUUUUGAUACAAAAGACUUCUUGGAAAGUCUUCUAAGAAGAAGUCUUCUAGACACUAAAAAAAAAUACAUGAGAAUACUUUUAGAAGACUUCGCUUUAGGCGG